rnacentral:tRNA from 1 species
GCCGCUGUAGCUUAACUGGCAGAGCAACAGCCCGUCUUCGCACCUUUGCCCGGUCACGGGCCGGAAGAGGACGGUUACCACCCUCGAACGGUGAAGAUGCGGGUUCGAGUCCCGCCGGCGGCA